CUCUGAGAUCAUGACCCAAGCCGAAGUCAGAUGCUUAACCGACUAAGCCACCCAGGCACCCUGAAGGUCUCACCUUUAGAAGGCUUGAGAGACACAUCAGAGCCCUGGGCACUGUCACAGCCACAGUACAACAGGACGUGGUCAGAGCCUCCAGGAGAUAAGACAAGGGAGCUAUGGGGUGGGUGAGCUCCUCAUGGGGUCCCAUCUGCACCACCCAGGGUCUCAGCAAUCACCCCGUCCAUACUUACUUGCAGACUGAGUGUAGCUCCAUCUUUUCCCCUGUGAGAACAAAACAUCAUAUCAGAGGCCAGGGAGAAGGCUUGGGCCCUGAGGUCCUAAAGGGACCCCUGAAAUUUUGGCCUCCAAAGAAAUUUCCAGAACUUUAACUACAGACCUAGGGCAAGAUUACACAAUGUGAGGUAAGAGGACAUGUGGAAACUAGAUCAAAGCCUCCUGGAGGUCUGUGUGCAGCAGGGCCUCCUCUCUGUCCUGUGACUGCUGGGAAUCAGGUCCCAUCUCCAGAAGCAUCGAGGUGAACGUUUUGUCUCUUUUUCAGGUGUGAUUAUUAAGUAAGAAAGAGUAUUAGCAAACAGGGUCCAACUGGGUAAGCACGUGUGUGUGGAUGGUGCCUCUCAGGACUGAGGCAAGACACUGGAAAAUUACAUAUGGCUUGAACCCCUCCCCCCCUCCCCCCAUCACUCUCCCCGCAGCCUCGUGCAAGAAAACUCUGACCUCACCCCUUUCCCUGCGGGAGCUCUUCCUCCUCCAGGUCCCAGGUCCAGUGACCACAGCUCCAAGGACAGCCAGACCAGCAAUGAUUCCCAUGAUGGGGAUGUUGGAGUGAUGCGGGGGCUCCGGGAACGAAAGGGAAGGUGCGAGUUCUGACCCCUGGGUCUCAGCUGUGUUGCCGCUGAAGGUCUACAGAAGGUGUCGUGUAUUCUGCUGUCUGGAUAGAAUCCACCCCUUCAUCGCCCUUCUUACCCCAUCUCAGGCUGACGGGAUCCUGCAACCUCCCGUGCUGCACAGGCACGUGUAUCUCUGCUCCUCUCCCAGAAGGCACCACUACAGCCGCCCAUUUCUGGAAGGUCCCGGCUCGGCAGGCCUGGUGUCCACAAGCUCCGUGUCCUGGGUCAGGUCCUCCCCAUCACGCUGCCAGGUCACAGUAAUCUCUGUCUGGUAGAAGCCCACAGCCCUGCACCUCAGGGUCCCCUCAUGGUCAGAGGUGGGGUGGCAGGUCACAUGUGUCUGUGGAGGAUCUGAGGAGAAGGGUCAGAGACUUUAGGAACUUUGCAUCAUCCCCCGGGGGCCACCAAAGCAGCACUCAUGUGACCAUGCUGAGAAUGGAGAGGACAAUAGGGUGGGCAGGGGAGUGCAUGACUCACAUCCCAGCCUGAGCUCCAGGAUCUGGGAUAACUUCCCAUCCCUUGGGAAGGUCUGGAGGCAGGAUAAGUAAGACAGCCUAGGGGAGGAGGCUCAGGGUCCCUGAGUGAGGGAACAGAGACUUCUAGUCCUGACCUGGUAGAGGAGGCCCAGUGGCUCAAAACACCUGGAGUCAGCCCUCCAAUGAAGUUGGGCAUGGGACAGAGGGCAAGGCCUGAGGGAGGAUGUCACCCGGGGUGCCCAAGGUGAAUACCAGGGUCAAGGAAACCUGCUAUUGAAUUCUUUCAGAGAUAUUUCUCUCCAUCUCCACAGAGACUGGAUCCCCUCUGUCCUGAGAGAAGGAUGGGUCCUACAAGCCAGUCUCUCUCUGACACAGGAUCCGAAAACCCAGGGGAACUCCUCACCCUCAGGACCCAAGGAGGGGGACAGGGAAGAAUUCUGGUGUCAAUCCUAUUUUCCUCCCUUUCGGUGGGGCCAGCAGGAGGUACAGCACCUGCCCCAGGGGAGAUCAGGAGGCCUGGAGGCCCCACACACCUGCUUCCUACAAGGUCUCUUUCCCUUUCUCUAGGUACAGGUGGAGCCCCAACACGUACUCCCUCUGCAGGUAACACCCGGUAGUGCUCGGCUGCUCAGGCCGCCUCCCACUGGCGCCCAGGAUCCGAGCCGCCUUCUCCGCUGCCCUCCAGGAGUGCAGGUCCUCCUUCAGGGGGCUGUAAUCGGCGCCCUCCUAGCGAAUUGCUCACACCCGCCGAGGUGGUUCGCAUCGAACCCUAAGUUGCGGCCAGAAGUCCCUUGGAAGUGGCGGAGGGCGGUGUGCAGGUUCGGUCGGGAGGUCUGUGCGUGCACCUUGGCGAUCUCCGUCUGCUCGUCCCAAACUGUGUCCCUCCUGCUCCACCCACGGCGCCCACAGCUCUACCCUCGGACUCGCGUCGCUGUGGAAUCGCAGGAACUGCGUGUGGUCCACUUGGCCCACCGAGACCUACAGCGCCUCCCCGCGACCGGUCCGCGACACCGCGGUGUGGAAACACCUCAGGGAGUGGGAACUGUGGGCACAAAGGGGCUGAGACCCCGCCCGACCCUCCUCCAGGCCCGGAGCCGGGUCCCAGAUGGAGGCAGCCAGGAGGGCAGGGCGAGGGGCACUCCACUGGGGGGCGGAGAGCAGGGCGGAGUCGCAAGAAGGACUCAAGGGGAGGAUGGCCCAGGCCUGGGCAGGGGUGUGUGGGGGUGUGGAGUGGGGGCGGUGGCCCCCUUCCCCCGUGGUCCAGCGUCCCCACCAGGCGGUCCCUUUGCUCCUACACAUAACAGGCUCUUUCCUUCUGACCUCACACUCACUGGCCCAGGUCAGGGUCAUGGCCAGGCCCCUGAAAGCACCAGGAGGCAGGUUCAAGGCCCCAGGAUCCCCACCCCCUGGGAGAAUCUAAGUCCCAGCCUGUCUGUGGCCAGGACAGGCCAGGGAACGCGGUGAAGCUGAUACGAUAGUCUUCUCUAGAAACCAGACAGGCAAUGGGAGUGUGAACAGGGGCGCCUUCAUGAAUCCCAGACAGGGGGACCUGACACAGGCUGUGACAGGGAGAAGUGAAACCAGGGGAGAUGGGGACUCCCAACACUAGGCUUCCCUGCCUCUGUGCCCUUGCACCUUCCACCCUGAGAGCCACACCCUCUUGGGGACAAGGGACUGGGCCCUGACCCCUCUCCUCUUGCAGGGAGCUCUCUUUGUCACACUGUUUCUCUGAGUUCUGGUCCAGGGACUUUCUGAAGAUGCCAGGUAGAGACAGCACACUGGGCUCAGCCCUUUCUCCUCACUUCCCUUCCUGGAAACACCCCCUCCCCCACCCCCCUGAACUGGACUCCCUUCCUCGAACCCCUUAUCUCUCUCCCUGGAUUGACUGACUGACUGACUUACCUAUUUAUUUACUUAUUUAUUCAUUGUUUUUAUUUAAAUUCCAGUCAGAUAACAUACAGUGUUAUAUUAGUUUCCGAGUACAACAAAGUGAUUCGACAAUUCCAUACAUCACCAGGUGCUCUCAUCAGGAAGGCAACAUGCCAAAGAAAGAAUAGGGACCACUUCUCACACCAUACACAAAAAUAAAUGCAAAAUGGAUUAAAGGCCAAAAUGGCCUGAAACCAUAAAAAUCCUGGAAGAGAACACACACGCUAAUUUCUUUGACAUGGGGAGUAACAACUUCUUUCUAGAUGUGUUCCCUGAGGCAAGGGAAACCAAAGCACAAAUAAACUACUGGGACUACAUCCACAUAAAAAGCUUCUGCACAGGGAAGGACAUAACCUCCUGGACUGUUUUAGAAGGAAACUUCGUCCCAGGGAAUUUGAUGUCAGAGACUGAGCUGGCUUCGGGAUGGUUGGUAGAGAAACAAUGGUUUCCUCUUGAAACCUGGGGCACCUGUGCCUGAGGCACCAGCUAGACAAUCUCACAGAGGCCUGUUUGCUUUUUGUUUAUUAACCAUCAUCUUGGUCACCACUGAAUGAUCCAAAUCUAAUCUGUCAAAGUAGUGGUUUUAUCCUUCCUAGAUACAUUUGUUUUCAUAGCCUUGCAAUAACUAAAGCUGUAAUUUUCACUUUCCCAAA